UCCCCCCAAGCUGGGUCACCCGUGGGGAAACUGAGGCAGCAGGGAUGGCCUGGCCCAGGCUGGGGGGACGGUGGGACGAGCCAGCCCCUCUCCUUCAGGCAGCUUCACGACGCUCAACACCUCGGUCCUCGCCGGGAUCAUGGUGGUGCUGCUGCUGCUCAACAUCUGCCUUGCCAUCUGCUACCUCUGCCGCACCACGCCGAUGGGCCACCAGCCUGGGACCACAGAGCCGCCUGCGCCACGGGAGGAUGAGGAAGAGCUGCAGUACGCCCAGCUGAGGUUCGCUGCCCCAGCCAGGCGCACGCCCUGACCCGCAGCCGGACGCGGUGACAGCCCCGACCCCAGAGCUCGUCCCUCCGUGCCCGAACCCCCCCGGCAUGGCGCUGUUGAACCCCCCCCAUCCCGCGGCGCUGGGGCGGCUGCACCCGCUUUGCGGCCAAGGACGAAAUAAAGAGGUUUGGGCUUCGGCGGCAGCAGCCUG